ACCGAAAAGGGGGAUUGGACCAUGGAUAGUGAUCACUCCUCGGGGGACCGUAGGGAAUUUCGGCGAUGGCGAAAUAGAACCACGCGAGAAGGCUUAGGUGGUCAAGUUGUUGUUGGAGACCAGACGAGAUGGGGUGCUGCGGUGCUAACCAGAAAGCACGAUAGUAGUGCGCAGCGAGUACGUAGGGGCAGAUUGUCGGAUAUUGGGCGAAAGCGGCGCAGGGGUCUUAAGUUGAUGUAGAGCACGCUCACCGUGGAGGGUCAUCGGAAUGGGAAUUGAGGCAGAAGAGGAAAAGAGGUAUAGGGUGGGGAAAGAGUGAUUAGAGGGACACAGGGGGAAGAGAUUUUUUUUGUACUAAUCUGAGGGGGAAAGUAGGAGCAAACAAAUUGAUACUCGGUAGUUACCCGUAAACGAGAAGUAGUAAAGUUAAAGGUCUCCCUUUAUUGAUGCAGCAAAACAUCAAGCAGCACACCGGGGGGGGAGUACUCAGCAGGAAAUCAAAAAUUGUUGAGGGGGCCACAACAGGUGUAGGAUGUGGUUUUUUAAUUAGCAACACCAAGAACCACCUUACCAGGUUUUGACAUCUUUUGAAAACUAAAAGAGGAGUUUCUCCUUCGGGACCAGAGUGACAGGUGGUGCAUGGUUGUCGUCAGCUCGGUCGUGAGAUGUUGGGUUAAGUCCCGCAACGAGCGCAACCCUUGAUUUAGUUGCCAUCAUUAAGUUGGGCACUUAAGGUGACUGCCGGUGACAAACCGGAGGAAGGUGGGGAUGACGUCAAAUCAUCAUGCCCCUUAUGACCUGGGCUACACACGUGCUCAAUGGACGGUACAAAGAGCUGCAAGACCGCGAGGUGGAGCUAAUCUCAUAAAACCGUUUCAGUUCGGAUUGUAGGUGCAACUGCCUACAGAAGCUGGAAUCGCUAGUAAUGGGAUCAGCAGCCGCGGUGAAUACGUUCCCGGGCCUUGUACACACCGCCCGUCCACCCGAGAGUUUGUACACCCGAAGUCGGUGGGUAACCUUAUGGAGCCAGCGCCUAAGGGACAGU
rnacentral:rRNA from 1 species